rnacentral:rRNA from 1 species
GCAGUCGAGCGAAUCUUUGGGAGCUUGCUCCUAAAGAUUAGCGGCGGACGGGUGAGUAACACGUGGGCAACCUACCUUACAGAUGGGGAUAACUCCGGGAAACCGGGGCUAAUACCGAAUAAUCCAUUUCUUCGCAUGAAGAGAUGUUGAAAGACGGUUUCGGCUGUCACUGUGAGAUGGGCCCGCGGCGCAUUAGUUAGUUGGUGGGGUAACGGCCUACCAAGACCACGAUGCGUAGCCGACCUGAGAGGGUGAUCGGCCACACUGGGACUGAGACACGGCCCAGACUCCUACGGGAGGCAGCAGUAGGGAAUCUUCCACAAUGGACGAAAGUCUGAUGGAGCAACGCCGCGUGAGUGAAGAAGGUUUUCGGAUCGUAAAGCUCUGUUGUAAGGGAAGAACACGUACAGGAGUAACUGCCUGUACCUUGACGGUACCUUACCAGAAAGCCACGGCUAACUACGUGCCAGCAGCCGCGGUAAUACGUAGGUGGCAAGCGUUGUCCGGAAUUAUUGGGCGUAAAGCGCGCGCAGGCGGUCCUUUAAGUCUGAUGUGAAAGCCCACGGCUCAACCGUGGAGGGUCAUUGGAAACUGGAGGACUUGAGUACAGAAGAGGAAAGCGGAAUUCCACGUGUAGCGGUGAAAUGCGUAGAGAUGUGGAGGAACACCAGUGGCGAAGGCGGCUUUCUGGUCUGUAACUGACGCUGAGGCGCGAAAGCGUGGGG